rnacentral:rRNA from 1 species
UACAGAGGUGCCAAGCGUUAGGCGGAAUCACUGGGCUUAAAGCGCGUGUAGGCGGGUCGUUAAGUGUCCGAGUGAAAUCCCACGGCUCAACCUGGGAACUGCAUCCGAUACUGGAUGGCUUGAAUUCGGGAGAGGGAUGCAGAAUUCCAGGUGUAGCGGUGAAAUGCGUAGAUAUCUGGAGGAAUACCGGUGGCGAAGGCGGCAUCCUGGACCGACAUUGACGCUGAGGAGCGAAAGCCAGGGGAGCAAACGGG